AGUGCAGUGUCCGAGUGGUUAAGGAGUUAGACUUAAGAUCUAAUGGUCGUAUGACCGCGUGAGUUCAAACCUCACCUGCACUA